UACGUGGGUCCCGAGCGUUGUCCGGAUUUAUUGGGCGUAAAGCGAGCGCAGGUGGUUUAUUAAGUCUGGUGUAAAAGGCAGUGGCUCAACCAUUGUAUGCAUUGGAAACUGGUAGACUUGAGUGCAGGAGAGGAGAGUGGAAUUCCAUGUGUAGCGGUGAAAUGCGUAGAUAUAUGGAGGAACACCGGUGGCGAAAGCGGCUCUCUGGCCUGUAACUGACACUGAGGCACGAAAGCGUGGGGAGCAAACAGG
rnacentral:rRNA from 1 species